rnacentral:rRNA from 1 species
UACGAAGGUGGCAAGCGCUGUUCGGAAUCACUGGGCGUAAAGCGCACGUAGGCGGCUUGGUCAGUCGGAUGUGAAAUCCCUCAGCUCAACUGAGGAACGGCGUCCGAUACUGCCAGGCUCGAGGUCUGGAGGGGGGAACGGAAUUCCUGGUGGAGCGGUGAAAUGCGUAGAGAUCAGGAGGAACGCCGGCGGCGAAAGCGGUUCCCUGGACAGAUCCUGACGAUGAGGUGCGAAAGAUAGGGGAGCAAACGGG